rnacentral:rRNA from 1 species
CUACGGGGUGCUCCAGUGAGGAAUAUUGCACAAUGGGGGAAACCCUGAUGCAGCAACGCCGCGUGGAGGAUGACGCAUUUCGGUGUGUAAACUCCUUUUAUAUGUCAAGAAAAUGACGGUAGCAUAUGAAUAAGCACCGGCUAACUCCGUGCCAGCAGCCGCGGUAAUACGGAGGGUGCAAGCGUUACUCGGAAUCACUGGGCGUAAAGGACGCGUAGGCGGGUUGUCAAGUCAGGUGUGAAAUCCUACAGCUUAACUGUAGAACUGCACUUGAAACUGGCAGCCUAGAGUAUGGGAGGGGGAGGUGGAAUUAGUAGUGUAGGGGUAAAAUCCGUAGAUAUUACUAGGAAUAUCAAAAGCGAAGGCGAUCUCCUGGAACAUUACUGACGCUAAGGCGUGAAAGCGUGGGGAGCAAACAGGAUUAGAUACCCUCGUAGUC